CAGUUCAGAUUGCAGGCUGAAACUCGCCUGCAUGAAGUCGGAAUUGCUAGUAAUCGCGGAUCAGCAUGCCGCGGUGAAUACGUUCCCGGGCCUUGUACACACCGCCCGUCACACCAUGGGAGCCGGUAAUACCCGAAGUCAGUAGUCCAACCUCGUGAGGACGCUGCCGAAGGUAGGAUUGGCGACUGGGGUGAAGUCGUAACAAGGUACC
rnacentral:rRNA from 1 species